GUUGCUUCAUUGCAGUUCACGCAGCCCAGUAAAAAUUGCAUCCCUCUGUGCUUGGCACCAUGCUAGCUGUGGUACUAUGUGGUUCCUGCCACCCAAGGAACUUACAAUCUAAACAGACAUGUAAGGACAUGAGAUAGAGGCAUACAAAACAAAACAAAAAGGGCCCAAAAAACCAAACAACAACAAACAAGACAAACCCAAAACUAACCAAAAUCUCUAUGCCAUGACUUACAGUGUUCUCUGACAGUUCCAGAAAAGAGUACAGGGUAACAUGCUGUGCAGUUAAAUAAAAACACCUUCCUCCCCCGGGGAAAUUAACAAAAAUUAACAGAAAAAAAUUCUGAGGUGUGUCUGCCACAGUUCCUUAACGCACUCAGCUUUGCUUCGUUGUUCUCAGCCAUUGUUCUCAGAUCAUGUGGUGCAUAGGUUGUGUAACUCCUCUGACUAUUCUGGGACACUCAGUACAAGAUGGACCACAGAUUGACAGCCUUCAGGAAACCAACUUCCCUUAACACAUUUAGAAAUGGAUCUAAAUCCAGACCUUGCUGAGCAGAAGCUGGAAAGAGGGUGAGUACUUCCUUCAGCUUUUGUCCUUUAUGCUCCAACUCAUUUUCCACACCUUAACGACCUCCCAUUGAAAGUGUCCUCUUGGUCGAGUGGCAGUCUCUCACCUGCAGCAAGGAAGACAGCGGGACUGCUCCUUUUGCAGCCCAUGCUGGUCGCACACUGCUGUGCACCCCGCAGGGCCAUCCUGUGAGGUGACUCAGGCUGCUCUGCUCUUCUCCUAAGACUCGGUUUGUCAUUUCUGUCAGUCUGUGACACAUACACACACAGCAGCUGCCAGUAGCCUGAGGCCUUGGGAUCCUCUUUUUCUUCCUGAGCUCGCUUCUCCUGC
rnacentral:lncRNA from 1 species